AGCGCAGGCGGUUUCUUAAGUCUGAUGUGAAAGCCCCCGGCUCAACCAGGGAGGGUCAUUGGAAACUGGGAGACUUGAGUGCAGAAGAGGAGAGUGGAAUUCCAUGUGUAGCGGUGAAAUGCGUAGAUAUAUGGAGGAACACCAGUGGCGAAGGCGGCUCUCUGGUCUGUAACUGACGCUGAGGCUCGAAAGGCUGGGAGCAAACA
rnacentral:rRNA from 1 species